rnacentral:rRNA from 1 species
UGGAAGGAGAAGUCGUAACAAGGUUUCCGUAGGUGAACCUGCGAAAGGAUCAUUGCCGAGACCCA